UUUCCUUUGUAUAAAUGUGUACAAGCCACGCCUCAGACACUAAGGUCACUGGAUGUAUGUGUGGGUACCUUGCAAGGAAAAGUAGGAAUGGUUCAGGCAGCAAAGAACACAGAAGACAAUGUCUGCAGUUUAUUUAUAUGGUGGAUUACACUUAAUGGAUUAUGGUUGUUGGACCACCUGUGAAUCUCUGGAAUGAAGCCUACUUAAUCAUGCUGGAUAUUUUUUUGAUGUGUUCCUGGAUUUUGUGUGUAAGUAAUUUAUUGAGAAUUUUUGCAUCUAUGUUCAUAAGGGAAAUUGGUUUGUAAUCUUUUGUUGAGUUUUUAUGUGGUUUGCUUACCAAAGUAACUAUGGUCUCAUUAUAAAUUGGUCAAUGUUUCUCCUGUUUUUCUUUGGUGGAAUAAUUUGAGAAGUAUUGGUUUUAUAUCUUACUUGAAAGUCUUGUA